AUGCAGCAAUUAUUGAAUCAAUAAAAUAAAAUACUGAACAGUAAUUACUGUAACAAUUAUUGAGUAGUGCCUUCUUACCUAAGAAUCAAUAAUUGGUGCAAUACCGUGUACUACUGUUCAACAACGCGUAUUAGUGUGUUUUAACCUCCGGGUAUUCCAACAGUAUUAACGGUAACAACUACGUCGUUAUUUAUAAAUAACUUAUAUUUGUCGUUUUCGUCAUCCAAUCACUUUCCGUUAUGGGGCCCAC
rnacentral:lncRNA from 1 species